UACAGAGACUGCAAGCGUUAUUCGGAUUCACUGGGCGUAAAGGGUGCGCAGGCGGCCGGGUGUGUCAGAUGUGAAAUCCCGAGGCUCAACCUCGGAACUGCGUCUGAAACUACUCGGCUAGAGUACUGGAGAGGGUAACGGAAUUCACGGUGUAGCAGUGAAAUGCGUAGAUAUCGUGAGGAACACCAGAGGCGAAGGCGGUUACCUGGACAGUUACUGACGCUGAGGCACGAAGGUCAGGGGAGCAAACGGG
rnacentral:rRNA from 1 species